GCAUCCGAGGAGCAGGAAGACACUUGCUUUCAUUACUUUAAUUGAGUGCGGCUGUGUGGUACUGGAGAUAGAGGGUAAUGGCAGCUGUACCUCCCACAAUCCCAUGCGCUCCAGACACCACUCCAUGGGCCGCAGGCAGUACCAAUGAAAGCAGUGAGGGUGGUACAAGUGCGCAUGUGUGAGAUCGGUGUGGUCCUCGUCUCUUAUCUUGAUGGACGUGGGGAUCAACCAAUGGCAAGCCCUAGCGGACCUGCGAGUCCUGGUCUUCCUGCCAAUCAGCGCCCUUCUAUUGUCUGAGUGCGGACGUUGGACCACGAGCUCCUAAAGUUGCUGCUGCUCCCCUCUGAAUGAAGAUUGAGUUUCACCCCAGACUUCAACUUCCUUUCUCUGUCUAAAGUCUGAAGACGUGCAGAAAGAAAUCUGAAACCAAAAGAUACAUCAAUCUCUGACAGAGCCACUUGAUUCAUUGGGACUUGAAUAUCAGCAGUCAUUCACAGCAAGAAGAAAUGUUUGCUUUUGUCUGCUUGAGAGAUUUUGGACACUGGUGUGGCAGGGAGAAUACUGAGACACCCGAGUGAGGGAGAUUGUGUGCUGACUGUGAAAAGUGCUUGAAACCAGUUACUCAGCUUGGGGGAUCAAAACCUCACCCCUCACAGUGUGGAGAGACUGUGUAACUGUUCUGUUUGUAAUUUCAAACCCAGAGGGACACAAGGAAAGCUUCCCCCCCCAUGGGAAAACCUGGAAAUGUGGGGACUGUGAGAAAAGGUUCCCUUCCCUAUGAUGCUGGAAACCCAUACACACGUUCACACUGGGGAGAGGCCAUUCACCCGCUCCAUGUGCAGACUGGGAUUCAGUGAGGUAGGCCAUCUGCAGAUAUGCCUGUGGGUCCAUGUGGAAGAGAAGCCGUUCAAGUGCUCAGUGUGCAGGAAUGGGUUCACUCCGUCGUCUCCACUGCUGAUUCACCAGCGGGUCCACACCGGAGGGAGGCCGUUCACUUGCUCUCUGUGUGGGAAGGGCUUCAGCCGCUCCUCCCACCUGCGGAGGCACCAGCGAGUUCCCGUGCCAUCACAGGGGGUUUGAAGGAGCAACGGCCGAGUGCCAUUAUCAACUGGACUAUUAAUCCAGUUCCGGGGACUCCUGGGUUCGAAUCUCACCGUGGCAGAUGGCAGAAUUGGAACUCAGUCUGAAAUCUGGAGUUCAGAAUCUCAUGAUCAAACUAUUUUUGGGGAAAAAACAGCCCUAACUGAUUCACUAAUGUUUUAAGGAAGGAAACUGUCGUUGUGGGAAAGGAUUCAUUCAGUCGUCCCUGCAACUGGUCUGGCCUACAAGUGACCCCUGACCCAUAGCAGUGCGCUUGAAUCUACACUGCCACACACACACACACACACACACACACACACCCCUCAUCCCUGCAAAUAAGCGGGGAGAAUCUUACUUGGAGACAGGGUAUGGGUUGAAAUUGCUGAGUGAGGCAAUACUCCCUCUGGGUUAAGGCUGUACCAAGGAACCAAUUACAAAGGGACAACUCAGCUGACCAAUAGUAAAGGAAGUGGGGUGCAGGGGAGUGUGUGUGCUUUGAGUUUGAGCUGUUUCAAAAAAAAAAGCUACUUUUUGUGCACCUUUUUGCUGGGGAGAUCUGAAGCUGUAACAAAGUUGGGUUGCAAUAAAAGUUACCUGAACUUAC